rnacentral:rRNA from 1 species
AGAGUUUGAUCCUGGCUCAGGACGAACGCUGGCGGCGUGCUUAACACAUGCAAGUCACGGGGGCCCGCAAGGGUAACCGGCGAACGGGUGCGUAACACGUGAGCAAUCUGCCGUACACUGGGGGAUAGCCGGCCCAACGGCCGGGUAAUACCGCAUACGUUCCUUGACCGGCAUCGGUUGGGGAAGAAACCUCCGGGGGUGUACGAGGAGCUCGCGGCCUAUCAGGUAGUUGGUGGGGUCACGGCCUACCAAGCCAUUGACGGGUAGCUGGUCUGAGAGGAUGGCCAGCCACAUUGGGACUGAGAUACGGCCCAGACUCCUACGGGAGGCAGCAGUGGGGAAUAUUGCGCAAUGGCCGCAAGGCUGACGCAGCGACGCCGCGUGGGGGAUGAAGCAUUUCGGUGUGUAAACCCCUGUUGCUCGGGACGAACAACCCUUUUCGAGGGGUCUGACGGUACCGGGUGAGGAAGCACCGGCUAACUCCGUGCCAGCAGCCGCGGUAAUACGGAGGGUGCGAGCGUUGUCCGGAAUCACUGGGCGUAAAGGGCGCGUAGGUGGUCUGCUAAGCGUGCGGUGAAAGCCCGGNG